GCGGGCGGCGCGGGGCAGGGCGGGAACCGUCGCGUUGGCCACCGCCGUAAACAGCGCGGCAUGAGCGAACCGGGCCGCGCGGCGGCCGAGUCGUGCCCCGGGGUCUCCCCGGCCCGCAGCGAGCAGGUCGGCAGCCUCCUGCGGUGCCUUCGCGACAGUGAAACCAGAAGGCUGGAAUUGGAAAGAAAACUGAUGGAAUACAAAAAUUCUGAUGCAUACUUAAUGAAACUAAAAUAUGUGAAGCUGAAAAAAUACUUGGAAGAAGUAGACGAACGACAGAAAAGAGCUCUUCUACGAAAUCAGACGUUCUUAAAUGAAUUCAACCAGUUGGAAGCUCGCAUGAAAGCUUCAAGUUUGGAGCUGAUUGAGAAGAUGGAAGUAUGGUAUGGAAGAGAAAUUAAAAGUGGGCUAUCGUUUCAAGAGGGUGACUUGUCGGCACGGGGUGACAAGGAAGAAGCAUACAACAAGCAGGUGCCUCAGGCUGCGAGGCAGGCAGGAAUUCAUGCCAAGACAGCUGUGUCCAGAAGCUUGCAUCAGCCAGUGCCAUUCUUCAUGAGCCACUGCACGUCUGCCUGCAGUAUGCAGCAGGACCAGCCCGCUGCCCGCUCUGGCAGGCUGACAACCUUGCAGGGUGACGAGGCAGACGGGCAUCUCGCACGAGCUGGCAGUGACAUACAGCGUGCUGAUAAGCCUGAUGAACGAGAUGGCAAGUCAGAUGUCCCCAUGGGGGAGAAGAUGCCCAUCAAAGACAGCAGCUUGCACAGCAGUCUUCUGAAUGUUACAGAACACAAAAAUCCCACUGAACUCUGCUUAGCAUUACCUGAUGGAGGAAGUGUGCAGAGCCGGACCGCAGACUUAGCAAGUGGCACAUCAGUGGAGGAGGAGGUGACCCACAAGCACCUGGUAGCAAGUGCAAAAGAAGUCUGUGAGCAGCCUGUCCUCUUGGCACCUAUCCCUGAGCCCAGCAUCUCUGGACCCCAGCGUAACCUGAACACCCAGCGGGCAGCGAGCCAGGACAGCAGCAGCAGCAGCACCCACCCAGCAGAGAACUCCUCUUUGCAGCCACCCAGCUGCUGUGCAGCAGAGGAUGAGCCCUUGGGCAGCCCAGUGCCUGAUGGCUCCUGUAGCCAGGAUGGCAGUCUGAAGGAAGACCUGGAGGCCUGUGAGGCAGCUGUCCUCCAUAAGCUCCCCAGGGCCAAGCCAGGCCAGCAGUGGGAUAUGGCCACACUACAGGCCUCACUGAACAGCCAUACUGCCUUCCUGGAGGAGCAUGACCACCUGCUCACUGAGGAGCUGGCCGCUGUGUUCCACAGCCCACUGGAUUCGGGCAAGGAGGCACUGGGAAGCCAGGCUCCACCGCUGCUGAGAGAGGUCCUUGCAGAAGAGCGUGGAGAUAGGUCAUCUAUUCAGAGUAAUGAAUCAUCUUACAGCUUGCCAUCGAUCCCAAAUGAUGGCGGGGAAAUGGAGCAGGCAAAACAUGUUCCGUGGCUCGACGGCAUGGAAAAGCAAGAAGUCACAAGCUGGUGUGAAGAUGAGAGCCAGGAAGAAAGCGUGGUAGGAAAGAUUCCUAUUACAGGUAAAAGUAAUGGCUGCAUAUUAACCUCAAAUGUGGUAUUCAACUUUAUUAUAUAAUCAAAACACGGCGUUUUGGGGGCUUGGGUCCGCUAAUAGUGAGUAAAUUCAGCUCCUACAUACCGAGCGCUAAGAUGAAACGCGAGAUCAUAAAGUACGCACUCAUCUUAACGUAAACCAGGAUGGAAAAUAACAGUGCCUAUUUAAUUCCUUGUAAUCAUGUUACACAUUUAAACCGUGCGAAUAUCCCGUCAUUUAGCCUUUCAGGUCCUAGUAUCGGUGUUACAAAGGUCAGUCUCCGUGGGGAAGAUCCAGUAAUUAUACGGCAAACUACAGAUGUUUCUGAUUUGAUUCUUUUCUUUUCUCUCGUAAUUGAAUGUGUGUCAUUAGAAUAAGCGCGGGGAAAAAUCCCGCCAGACAGGAAGCUGUGCUUUUGCCUCUGUUACAAAAGCUGCCUGAUAACACCAAAUUUUGAGCAAUAAGGUUUUAUCAAGCCGCGUUCAGCUCUCCCCGCAGCAGAUGCAUUAGGCUCGCUUAGGAUCCUGCCAUGCCGUCGCCGUUCGGUGGUGAAGUAUCAAUAACGCGUUAGUAUUCAGGGCAGAGCUUUCUGCAAUAAGUCUCAAUUUGCUUUUGCCUGAUUUUGCAAAGUCGUGGGCCGCUUCCUUCCGAAUGCUCGUGUUUGGCUAACUGUUUAUUUAUGCAGGUGUGUACUCCGACACAAAGGUGCGGGGGCAUCUGUUUAUACAGCGCUGGCUGUUGCUUUUCUGCUGUUUUACGACUUAAAAAUAGCCUGUCUUUCAGAGAGCAAUUCAUUUCUCUAUGGAGGUUUUCCUCGGCUGCUUUUUGAGCCUAAUUUGCAGCUGAAAUAUAAAAACGUGCUUCUUGUAUUCCCGAAUUAUACUGCAGCAAUAAUAUUACUGUGUUAGCCACAUAAAACUUAGGAUAUUUUUUUUUUCUCUGAGGCUUUGAGAGUAGAAUGCUUUCGUUUUUCUUGCUGCUUAAAACGUCCUUCAAUUGCACAUGGCAAUGUAAUUGUAAAACGUGAGCUGCGACGAUAAUUUUUUUAGGUGAACUAAAAGCACACAAGCCACUUAAAUGGUUUUCCUGAAGUAAAGCACGCUUACUUGAAAAUUCAUCCAAAAUUGGGCAGAGCUUGGGAUUGUUCUGAUUUUUUUGUCUGUAAUUUAAGAGGAUUUGGGUUUAAGGUCCAUCAUCUGCAGACAUCACCAGCAAGAAUGAUGUGACAAACGGUGGCUUCCUCUAACUAAUGCCAUCAUAGAUUUAUUUUAUUUUUUAUUUUGUAAGGGAGAACACAGGCUUGAGUUUGGGUGUGUGUAGCUGCCCAGGCUUCUGGCUUGUUUCUCCUAUGCUGGAUUCAGGACGUAGCAUGGCUGUUUUGAGCCGUGAAGCCCAGCAGUUUUUGCAUCUCUGCUGGGAACCUGGCUCUUGGGCUGGGCUGCAUCUGAUCCAAAGCUGAACCACAAUGGACAUCCCUCUCCUGUAGCUUCUCAUUGAAUGGAUGUGCGAGAACCAAUAUUUCCCAAUUGUAAAAAUGCUGAGAAACUCUUACUAGUCUGAAUACUGCAAAUGGUAACUUAUGCUAAAAAUGCUUUCUUCUCAAAUCUGCUUUAUUUGCUGGUUUUUUUGGCAGCGUGUUUGCAGUGGCCAGCGUUCUUGUUGUCUCUAGGAGUGAGGCUUUUCAUAUCUCACUUGAAAGCAAAGUUGCUCCUUUCAGCUGCGAUUCAUCUUCAGCCCAUGAUCUUCUCCAGGCUUCUUCUUCUUUCCUGGCUCCUUGCUCUCCCCGCCUGUCACUCUCUGCCUUGUGCUCACCAUUACAAGCCCUGGAGCACUGAAAUUGUUCAGAACCUAAAACAGAGGCAGUAUCUCUGCACCUUGCCUCUGGGGCUCAAAUGACUGGUGUGGGGGUCUGGUUUUCUGUCUUUAGAUGGAUUGGGAUCCAUGACCAUUUUGUUAUACAAUUAUUUUCCAAAUGUAGCGGAUACAAAUUGUGUUGUUUUUUUUUUUUUUAAGUGCCUACUGCAUUCCUUGAGGGCUUUAAGUUUUUAUUUAAACACUGGAAGCACUGAGGUUUUGAUGGACUUCAUUGUGAGAGCUGAGAGUCUUUCCCAAUAGGCAUUCACAGGUGCUUCUAUAGCUGUGGUUUAUUUUUUUUUCUUCUGUUAUAGGGGAAAAAAAAAAAAGGAACCGAUGUAUUUAUUUUAAUAUUCUGUAAAUACUCCUAUCUUUGGCAAUAAAGCCUCUUUUCUUCCAAACCUGCAAGUCAGCUCAGCACACAGGAUCGAUCCAACUUGUACCAUCAAGGUGGUUUCCUUCAUAGAGCCCCAUCCUACCCCUGCAGAACUGUGUUGUACUGAUGGACUUCAGAAAGGGUUUCAUGUUGUGUGAGGCACCCCUCAGCCUAACAAGGGCUAUCGAUCUCACCCACGUCUUAUGAAUAGCAACCUCGCUAUGUCUGAAGUUACGUGAGGAUCGAGGAGCGUCACAUUUAAUGAGCCAGUAAUCCUGCCAACACUUUUCCCACGCCCACACGUCUUUCCUGGUGAGGUCCUUCUUUGAGCUGGAGUUGAAAGGGUCCCGAAUUUCCACUUGGAGUGUGCUAAUAAAGCAUUAUUAAGUCUACCCAAUGUUUUGCUUCAUUUGAUAUCAAUCCAUUACAAACUGCUGUUUCAAAAAAAAAAAAAAAAAAGUUCAUCUAUACAU